rnacentral:rRNA from 1 species
GACGAACGCUGGCGGCGUGCCUAAUACAUGCAAGUCGAACGCUUCUUUCCUCCCGAGUGCUUGCACUCAAUUGGAAAGAGGAGUGGCGGACGGGUGAGUAACACGUGGGUAACCUACCCAUCAGAGGGGGAUAACACUUGGAAACAGGUGCUAAUACCGCAUAACAGUUUAUGCCGCAUGGCAUAAGAGUGAAAGGCGCUUUUGGGUGUCGCUGAUGGAUGGACCCGCGGUGCAUUAGCUAGUUGGUGAGGUAACGGCUCACCAAGGCCACGAUGCAUAGCCGACCGGAGAGGGUGAUCGGCCACACUGGGACUGAGACACGGCCCAGACUCCUACGGGAGGCAGCAGUAGGGAAUCUUCGGCAAUGGACGGAAGUCUGACCGAGCAACGCCGCGUGAGUGAAGAAGGUUUUCGGAUCGUAAAACUCUGUUGUUAGAGAAGAACAAGGACGUUAGUAACUGAACGUCCCCUGACGGUAUCUAACCAGAAAGCCACGGCUAACUACGUGCCAGCCGCCGCAGUAA